rnacentral:lncRNA from 1 species
UUUAUUCGUGAAUCAUUCCUUUUAGCAGAGUGUCGGUCGAGUUUGAGUAUUAAAACCAGUCUAAACAACAACUCAGAAACUUUACACACAAACAAUUCCACCAAAAAAUGUUCUGAUCUUCGUUUGCAAAAUUCGCCGGAGCAACAAUCUCACCAGAAUUGGAUGAACUCCGGUCGUCGUUGCAGUGUUUAAGAUGCUAGGAUUGCAGGAUGUCAUGGAAUCAAGCUUAGGUGGUCUAGAAACAAACUAAAUAAUUUAUGAGUUGUCGGAACUGUUUUUAUCUGUCUUUGAGAACAAUUUGUCUGUAAUAACUGUGUUACUUUAGAUGUUACGGUAUGGGACGUAAUGAUUAAAUAUUUGGUAAUUUUAGUUGUUAUGGAAUCUCUUGGACAAUCUGUUUUGCUCAGUGUCUCACCUUGAUGUUUUCGCCAUCGGUUGGGGUGUGACAG